rnacentral:ncRNA from 1 species
UUUUUCGGGGCAGGGUGCAAUUCCCUACUGGCGGUAUAGUCCGCGACCCGCUUUAUGCGGCUGACCCGGUGCAACUCCGGGACCAACAGUAUAGUCUGGAUGGAAGAAC